UGAGUACGAGAUGCUACGGCGUCGAAGCAGUCUAGGUCAUACUUCCAAGAAAAGCUUGCACUGUCAUAAACAAAGAAUGCCUGUACCAUAACCGACACAGGUGGGUAGGUAGAGUAUACUAAGGGGCGCGAGAUAACUCUCUCUAAGGAACUCGGCAAAAUGACUCCGUAACUUCGGGAGAAGGAGUGCCUUAUUUUUAAGGUUGCAAUAACAAGAUCCAAGCAACUGUUUACCAAAAACACAGGUCUCCGCUAAGUCGUAAGACGAUGUAUGGGGGCUGACGCCUGCCCAGUGCCAGAAGGUUAAAGAAGUUGGUUAGCAUUUGCGAAGCUGAUAACUGAAGCCCUGGUGAACGGCGGCCGUAACAAUAACGGUCCUAAGGUAGCGAAAUUCCUUGUCGGGUAAGUUCCGACCCGCACGAAAGGCGUAAUGAUUUGGAUACUGUCUCGGAGAGGGGCUCGGUGAAAUAGACUUGUCUGUGAAGAUGCGGACUACCUGCACCUGGACAGAAAGACCCUAUGAAGCUUUACUGUAACUUGAGAUUGAAAUUGGACUUUAUUUGCGCAGUAUAGGUGGGAGGCGUUGAGAAUAAUCUUGCGGGAUUAUCGGAGCCAUCAGUGAGAUACCACUCUUGUAAUGUUAGAUUUCUAACUUUGUAUCAUUAUCUGGUCAAAGAACAGUUUCAGGCGGGCAGUUUGACUGGGGCGGUCGCCUCCCAAAGGGUAACGGAGGCGCACAAAGGUUUCCUCUGAACGGGUAGAAAUCGUAUCUAGAGUGUAAAGGCAUAAGGAAGCUUGACUGUGAGACCUACAAGUCGAGCAGGGACGAAAGUCGGUCUUAGUGAUCUGACGGUGCUGAGUGGAAAGGCCGUCACUCAACGGAUAAAAGUUACUCUAGGAUAACAGGCUGAUCUCCCCCAAGAGUUCACAUCGACGGGGAGGUUUGGCACCUCGAUGUCGGCUCAUCGCAUCCUGGGGCGGUAGUACGUCCCAAGGGUUGGGCUGUUCGCCCAUGAAAGCGGUACGCGAGCUGGGUUCAGAACGUCGUGAGACAGUUCGGUCCAUAUCCGGUGUAGGCGUUAGAAUAUUGAAAGGAGCCUUCUCUAGUACGAGAGGACCGAGAAGGACAUACCUCUGGUGUGCCAGUUAUCGUGCCAACGGUAAACGCUGGGUAGCUAUGUAUGGAGUGGAUAACCGCUGAAAGCAUCUAAGUGGGAAGCCCACCUUAAGAUAAGUAUUCUCGU
rnacentral:rRNA from 1 species